AAUGAACGCUGGCGGCAGGCCUAACACAUGCAAGUCGAACGGGCAUCUUCGGGUGCUAGUGGCGGACGGGUGAGUAACGCGUGGGAACGUGCCCCUUUCUACGGAAUAGCCCUGGGAAACUGGGAGUAAUACCGUAUAAGCUCGAGAGAGGAAAGAUUUAUCGGGAAGGGAUCGGCCCGCGUUGGAUUAGGUAGUUGGUGGGGUAAUGGCCUACCAAGCCGACGAUCCAUAGCUGGUUUGAGAGGAUGAUCGGCCACACUGGGACUGAGACACGGCCCAGACUCCUACGGGAGGCAGCAGUGGGGAAUCUUAGACAAUGGGGGAAACCCUGAUCUAGCCAUGCCGCGUGAUCGAUGAAGGCCUUAGGGUUGUAAAGAUCUUUCAGAUGGGAAGAUAAUGACGGUACCAUCAGAAGAAGCCCCGGCUAACUCCGUGCCAGCCGCCGCAGUAA
rnacentral:rRNA from 1 species